GACGAUGUCAGGAGACAGUUACCAUGAGGGCUGUGUAGGUAUAGGGAUAGUGGUAGGCCAGGUAGCAGACAUCCUCAUUGUGUGGGAAGCUGACGGCAAAGGAGAGGGUAUAGUAGCACUUCCCAGACACUCCGCCUGCAGCAGCUCUACUCUGGCGAUAGUGGUUUCUAAAGAGAGAGGAAAAGAGAAGAAAAUCAAGGAGAGCAACCCAUCAGGAGGAUGAUGAAACAAAAGCUUAAAGAAAUUAAUUUUCCAAAGGGCUCCAGGCUAAAGGGUAAAGUUUGUACAGCCCUAGACUUUCCUUGGCUAUGAUAUCCGUCUCGACUGAGAGCUCAUCUGUAGGUUCUGCUAGAGAGCAUGGUACUGCAUCUGCCCUUGAAUGCAGGAUGGUUCACCUCUCUCUGGGAAGCUCAUGAUUUGCCACCUCAGGAAUGUGGCGAAGUGCAGGAAUAGCAAGCCCAUGUGCCCUUCCAUGUCAACAGAAUCUGCCCUGGCAUCAAAGUGCUCUCAAACCCAAAUAUGAACCCAUAAUUUGAAACAUAAGACACAUCAGUAAUAGUUCACCUCUACCUAACAGCUCACUCAGCUAUGAUACCUGUGAGUUCCCUAGUAGUGUACUGGUGAAUGUUUAAUAAACGACUCUCUGAGACG